rnacentral:rRNA from 1 species
CAAGUCCGAUGCUAAAGACUGGGGCUCAACCCCAGGGGUGCGUUGGAUACUGUGAGGCUAGACGGUCGGAGGGGGUAGCGGAAUUUCCGGAGUAGCGGUGAAAUGCGCAGAUACCGGAAGGAACGCCAAUAGCGAAGGCAGCUACCUGGACGACUUGUGACGCUGAGGCGCGAAAGCGUGGGGAGCAAACCGGAUUAGAUACCCGGGUAGUCCACGCCCUAAACCAUGAGUGCUGGGUGUCCGGCUUCUGCUGGGUGCCGUAGCUAACGCGCUAAGCACUCCGCCUGGGAAGUACGCACGCAAGUGUGAAACUCAAAGGAAUUGACGGGGGCCCGCACAAGCGGUGGAGCAUGUGGUUUAAUUCGAAGCGACGCGAAGAACCUUACCAGGCCUUGACAUGCCCGGAACCCCUCUGAAAGGAGGGGGUGCCCGCAAGGGAGCCGGGACACAGGUGCUGCAUGGCCGUCGUCAGCUCGUGUCGUGAGAUGUUGGGUUAAGUCCCGCAACGAGCGCAACCCCUAUCCCUAGUUGCCAGCAGUUCGGCUGGGCACUCUAUGGAGACUGCCUGCGAAAGCAGGAGGAAGGCGGGGAUGACGUCUGGUCCGCAUGGCCCUUACGGCCUGGGCGACACACGUGCUACAAUGCCAAGGACAGAGCGCUGCUACCUCGCGAGAGGACGCCAAUCGCAAAAACCUUGGCUCAGUUCGGAUUGGAGUCUGCAACUCGACUCCAUGAAGCCGGAAUCGC